GACGAACGCUGGCGGCGUGCUUAACACAUGCAAGUCGAGCGGUAAGGCCCCUUCGGGGGUACACGAGCGGCGAACGGGUGAGUAACACGUGAGCAAUCUGCCCUUCACUUUGGGAUAACUCUGGGAAACGAGAGCUAAUACCGAAUACGACCACUUCAGGCAUCUGAUGGUGGUGGAAAGUUCCGGCGGUGAAGGAUGAGCUCGCGGCCUAUCAGCUAGUUGGUGGAGUAACGGCCCACCAAGGCUUCGACGGGUAGCCGGCCUGAGAGGGUGACCGGCCACACUGGGACUGAGACACGGCCCAGACUCCUACGGGAGGCAGCAGUGGGGAAUAUUGGACAAUGGGCGAAAGCCUGAUCCAGCAGCGCCGCGUGAGGGAUGACGGCCUUCGGUUGUAAACCUCUUCAGUAGGACGAAGCGCAAGUGACGGUACCUACAGAAGAAGCACCGGCCAACUAACGUGCCAGCAGCCG
rnacentral:rRNA from 1 species